rnacentral:pre_miRNA from 1 species
AGUAGGAUAGCUGGGUAAAAUGGUGGUUCCAUUCCUAGUUUCUGAGGAAUUUCCAUACUGCUUUCCAAGGUGGUUGCACCAAUUUGCAGUCCCACCAGCUAU